rnacentral:rRNA from 1 species
GACGUAGGGCGCGAGCGUUGUCCGGAUUUAUUGGGCGUAAAGAGCUCGUAGGCGGCUUGUCGCGUCGUCCGUGAAAACCUGCGGCUCAACUGCAGGCUGGCGGUCGAUACGGGCAGGCUAGAAUUCGGUAGGGGAGACUGGAAUUCCUGGUGUAGCGGUGAAAUGCGCAGAUAUCAGGAGGAACACCGGUGGCGAAGGCGGGUCUCUGGGCCGAUAUUGACGCUGAGGAGCGAAAGCGUGGGGAGCGAACAGG